ACGGGUGAGUAAUACGUAGGGAUCUGCCUUGAAGAGUGGGACAACCCGAGGAAACUCGGGCUAAUACCGCAUGAUCUCUGAGGAGGAAAGGCUAGGGGUAACUCUGGCGCUUUAAGAGGAACCUACGUCCGAUUAGCUAGUUGGUAAGGUAAAGGCUUACCAAGGCGAUGAUCGGUAGCUGUUCUGAGAGGAAGAACAGCCACACUGGGACUGAGACCCGGCCCAGACUCCUACGGGAGGCAGCAGUGGGGAAUAUUGGACAGUGGGGGCAACCCUGAUCCAGCGAUGCCGCGUGUGUGAAGAAGGCCUUCGGGUUGUAAAGCACUUUAGUUGGGGAAGAAGAAUUGUUGUUUAAGAGAUGGCAAUUUCGACGGUACCCAAGGAAUAAGCACCGGCUAACUCUGUGCCAGCAGCCGCGGUAAUACAGAGGGUGCGAGCGUUAAUCGGAAUUACUGGGCGUAAAGGGCGCGUAGGCGGUUUGAUAAGUGAGAUGUGAAAUCCCCGGGCUUAACCUGGGGACUGCAUCUCAGACUAUGAGACUGGAGUACAGUAGAGGGUAGUGGAAUUUCCGGUGU
rnacentral:rRNA from 1 species